ensembl:piRNA 21ur-3157 ncRNA
UUUAGGACCGUUUGUGAUGAU